UAGGAUCCUACUAAGUUCUGCACUUAAUUU
rnacentral:piRNA from 1 species